GGCGUCGACCGGCGCACGGGUGAGUAACGCGUAUCCAACCUGCCCAUCACUUGGGGAUAACCUUGCGAAAGUAAGACUAAUACCCAAUGACGUCUCUAGAAGACAUCUGAAAGGGAUUAAAGAUUUAUCGGUGAUGGAUGGGGAUGCGUCUGAUUAGCUUGUUGGCGGGGUAACGGCCCACCAAGGCGACGAUCAGUAGGGGUUCUGAGAGGAAGGUCCCCCACAUUGGAACUGAGACACGGUCCAAACUCCUACGGGAGGCAGCAGUGAGGAAUAUUGGUCAAUGGACGAGAGUCUGAACCAGCCAAGUAGCGUGCAGGAUGACGGCCCUAUGGGUUGUAAACUGCUUUUAUAAGGGAAUAAAGUGAGUCUCGUGAGACUUUUUGCAUGUACCUUAUGAAUAAGGACCGGCUAAUUCCGUGCCAGCAGCCGCGGUAAUACGGAAGGUCCGGGCGUUAUCCGGAUUUAUUGGGUUUAAAGGGAGCGUAGGCCGGAGAUUAAGCGUGUUGUGAAAUGUAGACGCUCAACGUCUGCACUGCAGCGCGAACUGGUUUCCUUGAGUACGCACAAAGUGGGCGGAAUUCGUGGUGUAGCGGUGAAAUGCUUAGAUAUCACGAAGAACUCCGAUUGCGAAGGCAGCUCACUGGAGCGCAACUGACGCUGAAGCUCGAAAGUGCGGGUAUCGAACAGGAUUAGAUACCCUGGUAGUCCGCACGGUAAACGAUGGAUGCCCGCUGUUGGUCUGAACAGGUCAGCGGCCAAGCGAAAGCAUUAAGCAUCCCACCUGGGGAGUAC
rnacentral:rRNA from 1 species